GACGGAGGAUGCAAGCGUUAUCCGGAAUGAUUGGGCGUAAAGCGUCCGCAGGUGGCAGUUCAAGUCUGCGGUCAAAGACUGGGGCUUAACCCUGGAAAGGCCGUGGAAACUGAAUAGCUAGAGUGCAGUAGGGGUAGAGGGAAUUCCCGGUGUAGCGGUGAAAUGCGUAGAGCUCGGGAAGAACAUCGGUGGCGAAAGCGCUCUGCUGGACUGCAACUGACACUCAGGGACGAAAGCUAGGGGAGCGAAUGGG
rnacentral:rRNA from 1 species